GUGUUCGCUUCCACAGCACAUAUAAUAAAAUUAGAACAAUACAGAGAUUAGUAUGGCCUGCUCAAGGAUAACAUGCAAAUUUACGAAGCAUUCCAUUUUUUU